rnacentral:rRNA from 1 species
UACGAAGGGGGGCUAGCGUUGCUCGGAAUCACUGGGCGUAAAGGGUGCGUAGGCGGGUCUUUAAGUCAGGGGUGAAAUCCUGGAGCUCAACUCCAGAACUGCCUUUGAUACUGAAGAUCUUGAGUUCGGGAGAGGUGAGUGGAACUGCGAGUGUAGAGGUGAAAUUCGUAGAUAUUCGCAAGAACACCAGUGGCGAAGGCGGCUCACUGGCCCGAUACUGACGCUGAGGUACGAAAGCGUGGGGAGCAAACAGG